rnacentral:rRNA from 1 species
AUGUCCUACGGGAGGCAGCAGUAGGGAAUCUUCCACAAUGGGCGAAAGCCUGAUGGAGCAACGCCGCGUGGGUGAAGAAGGUCUUCGGAUCGUAAAACCCUGUUGUUAGAGAAGAAAGUGCGUGAGAGUAACUGUUCACGUUUCGACGGUAUCUGACCAGAAAGCCACGGCUAACUACGUGCCAGCAGCCGCGGUAAUACGUAGGUGGCAAGCGUUAUCCGGAUUUAUUGGGCGUAAAGGGACGGC